rnacentral:rRNA from 1 species
UUCAAUACUGAAUAUUUAUAUUCAGUGUGCACUUCUCUUUUAGUAAGACGUUGUGAUCCAUUAGGAAUUGAUUGUACCAUAUGGUUUACAAUUAUUAGGCUACCAAUAGUCUGGUAUUGAAGUUCACGAUGAUAAACAAUAUAAUUUUAAAUAAUUGUAUAUAUUAUCUUGUGAGCAUAUCAUGCACUGGUGUAGCUGCCUGAUGGAUUUUAAAGGCCAUAGCAUUAAUAUUUUCGAAUAUUAUCAGCUAUUUAAUUAGCUGAAGUGAGUUAUGUGCCCGAUCAACAACGGUUUCAUUUGGGAUACCUUUGGGACCCGUCUUGAAACACGGACCAAGGAGUCUAUUUAGUAUGCAAGUAAAUGGGAAUUUAUUAAAACCUAUUUGCGUAAAUAACUUAACUGUUCAAUGGGAUUACGAGUGUUUCAGAAUUUAUUUUGAGCAUUCCUCCAUCCCGGGGUAUUUUCACAAUAUAUAUGGUGCAAAUCAUAUAUAGAAAAUAUACCAUGAGCAUACUGGAUAUGACCCGAAAGAUGGUGAACUAUGCCUGAUCAGGUUGAAGUCAGGGGAAACCCUGAUGGAGGACCGAAGCAAUUCUGACGUGCAAAUCG